AUGAGGUUUGUCCCUUCAAUGGGUCCGUACAAGGCCUAGCUCAAAAGCUAGCCAAUCAACGCAUAGGGAAAACAAAUCCUACAAUUCGUUAAGGAAAGCGAAACUGUAAUAAAUAAAUGUUUUUUUUCGUUCAUAGUUCGUGUAUUAAUGAGUUGAGCUUGGAGUAUCGCGGAACUGUGUGUUUGAAGGUACAAUGGCUUUAGUGUCAACAGACACCAAAAUCGCAGAGUUUCUAAAUGAGCUGCAUCAGCUCAUAAAGCAAACUCAGGAAGAGCGAUCGAGAAGUGAACACAACCUUCUCAACAUCCAGAAAACACAUGAAAGGAUGCAAACAGAGAAUAAGACUUCUCCAUACUACCGGACAAAACUGAGGGGUCUUUACACUACAGCUAAAGCUGAUGCUGAGGCUGAAUGUGGUAUACUUCGCGGGGCGCUUGACAAGAUUGCCGAAAUUAAAUCCCUUCUGGAGGAGAGACGGAUUGCUGCCAGGAUGGCAGGCGUGUACAGUGACACCGACACACCCAGAAAGACCAUGCGCAGGGGUGUCCUGAUGACCCUGUUACAACAGUCAGCCAUGACACUUCCUCUCUGGAUCGGCAAACCUGGCGAGAGUCCACCUCCACUGUGUGGCGCUAUACCAGCAAGCAGUGACUAUGUGGCUAAACAGGGCGACAAGGUGGCGGCGCGGGUGAAGGCCGUGGAUGGGGAUGAGCAGUGGAUUCUUGCUGAAGUUGUCAGCUACAAUCACUCCACCAACAAGUAUGAAGUGGAUGACAUUGAUGAAGAGGGUAAAGAGAGACACACAUUGAGUCGGAGAAGAAUAAUUCCUCUUCCGCAGUGGAAAGCAAACCCAGAGACGGACCCCGAGGCCCUGUUCAGUAAGGAUCAGCUGGUGCUGGCCCUCUAUCCACAGACUACGUGCUUUUACAGAGCUCUGAUCCACACUCCGCCACAUCGGGUGAGCAGAACAAGUGUAGGAUAAGAGGCUUCAGAGAUACUUGAAGUGUUGAAGAUUGGUUAUCACUCUUGAUGAUGCUACAGGGAGCCCCAGGAUGACUACUCGGUUCUGUUUGAGGAUACAUCUUAUGCUGAUGGCUAUUCUCCACCUCUCAACGUCGCUCAGCGAUAUGUAGUGGCCUGCAAGGAGAACAAAAAGAAGUGAUAGAAAUAUACGAAAUGCAACAUUAUUUGCAAAAACUUUGUUGUGAUUGAAAACAGGAUAUUGAGCAUUUUUCCCCAUUUCUGUUACCACGCACAUAGUAUUGGUGUAUUUUAUACUGCUUCUUUUGUAUGAUGUUUUUCUGAAUCUGAAUGCAAGGACACCAACUGUAACUGAAUUGGGCUCAAGUAAUAAACUCUUGUGAAUUAAAGGUACACUAAUCACAAA